rnacentral:rRNA from 1 species
AUUGAACGCUGGCGGCAGGCCUAACACAUGCAAGUCGAACGGUAGCACAGAGAGCCUGCUCUCGGGUGACGAGUGGCGGACGGGUGAGUAAUGUCUGGGAAACUGCCCGAUGGAGGGGGAUAACUACUGGAAACGGUAGCUAAUACCGCAUAACGUCGCAAGACCAAAGUGGGGGACCUUCGGGCCUCACACCAUCGGAUGUGCCCAGAUGGGAUUAGCUAGUAGGUGGGGUAAUGGCUCACCUAGGCGACGAUCCCUAGCUGGUCUGAGAGGAUGACCAGCCACACUGGGACUGAGACACGGUCCAGAAUCCUACGGGAGGCAGCAGUGGGGAAUAUUGCACAAUGGGGGCAAGCCUGAUGCAGCCAUGCCGCGUGUAUGAAGAAGGCCUUCGGGUUGUAAAGUACUUUCAGCGGGGAGGAAGGCGGUGAAGUUAAUAGCUUCACCGAUUGACGUUACCCGCAGAAGAAGCACCGGCUAACACCGUGCCAGCAGCCGCCGCCG